GUCCACGCCCUAAACGAUGUCAACUGGUUGUCGGGGAAGUAAUUCCUUGGUAACGAAGCUAACGCGUGAAGUUGACCGCCUGGGGAGUACGGCCGCAAGGCUAAAACUCAAAGGAAUUGACGGGGACCCGCACAAGCGGUGGAUUAUGUGGAUUAAUUCGAUGCAACGCGAAAACCUUACCUACCCUUGACAUGUGCGGAAUGGGGUAGAGAUACCUCGGUGCCCGAAAGGGAACCGCAACACAGGUGCUGCAUGGCUGUCGU
rnacentral:rRNA from 1 species